rnacentral:rRNA from 1 species
CAGUAGCCACGGUAAUACGUAGGUGGCAAGCGUUAAUCGGAAUUACUGGGCGUAAAGCGUGCGCAGGCGGUUGUGUAAGACAGGUGUGAAAUCCCCGGGCUUAACCUGGGAACUGCGCUUGUGACUGCACAGCUAGAGUAUGGCAGAGGGGGGUGGAAUUCCACGUGUAGCAGUGAAAUGCGUAGAGAUGUGGAGGAACACCGAUGGCGAAGGCAGCCCCCUGGGCCAAUACUGACGCUCAUGCACGAAAGCGUGGGGAGCAAACAGGAUUAGAUACCCCGGUAGUCCCUGUCUCUUAUAC